GAGUCUGCGUUUCAUUAGCUAGUUGGUAGGGUAAUGGCCUACCAAGGCAACGAUGAGUAACUGGUCUGAGAGGAUGAUCAGCCACACUGGAACUGAAACACGGUCCAGACUCCUACGGGAGGCAGCAGUGGGGAAUAUUGCGCAAUGGGCGAAAGCCUGACGCAGCAACGCCGUGUGAGGGAUGAAGGCUUUCGGGUCGUAAACCUCUGUCGGAAGGGAAGAACGGGCAUUGGUCUAAUAGGCCUUUGUUUUGACGGUACCUUUAGAGGAAGCACCGGCUAACUCCGUGCCAGCAGCCGCGGUAAUACGGAGGGUGCAAGCGUUAUUCGGAAUUACGG
rnacentral:rRNA from 1 species